GAGUGGCGAACUGGUGAGUAACACGUGGGAAACCUGCCCAGAAGCGGGGGAUAACACCUGGAAACAGAUGCUAAUACCGCAUAACAACUUGGACCGCAUGGUCCGAGUUUGAAAGAUGGCUUCGGCUAUCACUUUUGGAUGGUCCCGCGGCGUAUUAGCUAGAUGGUGAGGUAACGGCUCACCAUGGCAAUGAUACGUAGCCGACCUGAGAGGGUAAUCGGCCACAUUGGGACUGAGACACGGCCCAAACUCCUACGGGAGGCAGCAGUAGGGAAUCUUCCACAAUGGACGAAAGUCUGAUGGAGCAACGCCGCGUGAGUGAAGAAGGGUUUCGGCUCGUAAAACUCUGUUGUUAAAGAAGAACAUAUCUGAGAGUAACUGUUCAGGUAUUGACGGUAUUUAACCAGAAAGCCACGGCUAACUACGUGCCAGCAGCCGCGGUAAUACGUAGGUGGCAAGCGUUGUCCGGAUUUAUUGGGCGUAAAGCGAGCGCAGGCGGUUUUUUAAGUCUGAUGUGAAAGCCUUCGGCUCAACCGAAGAAGUGCAUCGGAAACUGGGAAACUUGAGUGCAGAAGAGGACAGUGGAACUCCAUGUGUAGCGGUGAAAUGCGUAGAUAUAUGGAAGAACACCAGUGGCGAAGGCGGCUGUCUGGUCUGUAACUGACGCUGAGGCUCGAAAGUAUGGGUAGCAAACAGGAUUAGAUACCCUGGUAGUCCAUACCGUAAACGAUGAAUGCUAAGUGUUGGAGGGUUUCCGCCCUUCAGUGCUGCAGCUAACGCAUUAAGCAUUCCGCCUGGGGAGUACGGCCGCAAGGCUGAAACUCAAAGGAAUUGACGGGGGCCCGCACAAGCGGUGGAGCAUGUGGUUUAAUUCGAAGCUACGCGAAGAACCUUACCAGGUCUUGACAUACUAUGCAAAUCUAAGAGAUUAGACGUUCCCUUCGGGGACAUGGAUACAGGUGGUGCAUGGUUGUCGUCAGCUCGUGUCGUGAGAUGUUGGGUUAAGUCCCGCAACGAGCGCAACCCUUAUUAUCAGUUGCCAGCAUUAAGUUGGGCACUCUGGUGAGACUGCCGGUGACAAACCGGAGGAAGGUGGGGAUGACGUCAAAUCAUCAUGCCCCUUAUGACCUGGGCUACACACGUGCUACAAUGGAUGGUACAACGAGUUGCGAACUCGCGAGAGUAAGCUAAUCUCUUAAAGCCAUUCUCAGUUCGGAUUGUAGGCUGCAACUCGCCUACAUGAAGUCGGAAUCGCUAGUAAUCGCGGAUCAGCAUGCCGCGGUGAAUACGUUCCCGGGCCUUGUACACACCGCCCGUCACACCAUGAGAGUUUGUAACACCCAAAGUCGGUGGGGUAACCUUUUAGGA
rnacentral:rRNA from 1 species